UACGUAGGGUGCAAGCGUUUGUCCGGAAUUAUUGGGCGUAAAGAGCUCGUAGGCGGUUUGUCGCGUCUGCUGUGAAAACCUAAGGCUCAACCUUGGGCUUGCAGUGGGUACGGGCAGACUAGAGUGCGGUAGGGGUGACUGGAAUUCCUGGUGUAGCGGUGGAAUGCGCAGAUAUCAGGAGGAACACCGAUGGCGAAGGCAGGUCACUGGGCCGCAACUGACGCUGAGGCGCGAAAGCGUGGGGAGCGAUCCGG
rnacentral:rRNA from 1 species